AGGGAUAUUGCACAAUGGGGGAAACCCUGAUGCAGCGACGCCGCGUGAGUGAAGAAGUAUUUCGGUAUGUAAAGCUCUAUCAGCAGGGAAGAAGAUGACAGUACCUGAGUAAGAAGCCCCGGCUAACUACGUGCCAGCAGCCGCGGUAAUACGUAGGGGGCAAGCGUUAUCCGGAUUUACUGGGUGUAAAGGGAGCGUAGACGGUUAUGCAAGUCUGGAGUGAAAGCCCGGGGCUCAACCCCGGGACUGCUUUGGAAACUGUAUGGCUGGAGUGCAGGGGAGGUAAGUGGAAUUCCUAGUGUAGCGGUGAAAUGCGUAGAUAUUAGGAGGAACACCAGUGGCGAAGGCGGCUUACUGGACUGUAACUGACGUUGAGGCUCGAAAGCGUGGGGAGCAAACAGG
rnacentral:rRNA from 1 species